UUUCACAAUCACAAUUUCACAGGCCGUGGGAGGGCCGGUGGGUGUUGAAGAAGAAAAAAACUGACAGGAAGAUUUCUAGAGAAGUUCAUUUGCUGUUCUCUUGGAUUACUCGCUCAGAUCAAAUGUCUCAUUGGUAUACAUGAUUUGUGGAGAUUUGUUAUCAGAAGCUGGAGGAAAUACAGCUCAUCGGACAAAAUAAACCACAGAGAAGCAUGCGCUGACUGGCCAACCUCUGAAAAGAGAAGUAACAGAAGAAGAGCUUGAGACACUUGACAGUAAAUGGUCUUACUUAGAAUCAAUGGAGAUUAUUGCAGCCCAUUAAAAACAUAAAGCAUGGCACAAAUGCCAGGUUUCUUUUUGCUGGUAAUAGUCGGGAUAAUUGUAUCAACCUUGACAAUAAUCCUCGUAUUCAUCAUCAUCAAUGUGUGUAUUAGCAAGCAAGCUGCCAGGCGAAAGAAGCAAGAGUCAAUACAAAAUCACACUAAUUUAAGUCACAAUCACCUGUUUCCAGCCCAUGCAGACGUGGAGGAGAAACCACCUCCACUGCCUUCUAGGGACCAGUUCCUCUCAGAGUCAAGGUCCAACAGUUAUGAGCAGGUGGACACUUUAAUAAGUCCAAUGAAAGUAGAAAUUCAAAGUCCAUCUCCACCACAACCGACUUUCAUCCAGGACUGUAAGAUCCAGUUUGAAGAGGAGGACAACAAGAGUGUGGGUGAAAGCUAUGAUGAUGUUGAACAACUUAACAAUGGUGAGGACAAAACGAUAUGUACAGAAUGCUCUUUAUUCUCGGCUGAUAAAGAAAAGGGCCCAGCUAGACGCGCCAUUGUUAAGAACCCUUGAAUCUGAAUCAGACAGAAACAAACUAAGCUCUGCAUUCUGAUUGAAUACAGCAUUUAGAAAUGUCACUCAUUUAGUUAAAGAGAUAAAACAGAAUGAACUAUGCUAUUUAUAAUGGAAAAUAAAAGAAUAGCUUAGACGUUACA
rnacentral:lncRNA from 1 species